rnacentral:tRNA from 1 species
GCGGAAGUGGUGGAAUCGGUAGACACGCCAUCUUGAGGGGGUGGUGCCGCAAGGUGUGGGGGUUCAAAUCCCCCCUUCCGCA